CAACGUGGUCUAGCAUGAAGUACUCCUGUCCAUAGCAGGGGUUGCAACUGGUGGUCUUCAAGUCCCCCCCAGCCCAAACGAGAGAGGAGGCUCAGGGGAGGUCUUAACACUCUCUAUGAAGACCUGAGAGGAGGUCGUUUCAAGCUGGGGAUUGCCCUCUUCUCCCAGAAAAGGACAGCUGUUUACUGUGACCUCUGUCCAGCAAAGGCCCCCAUACUUAGCAAGAGUUAACUCCUCCUUGUUAUGAGGAGUAAAAUGUGAGAAAAGUCAAGAAGUGUAAAUCUUCAAAGGAUAAUGUGCAGUUAGAUGCCAUUUGGCGUGAUGAAGAAUAUCACACUGCAGCCCGGAGAGGCAGUGACAUUAUUCAGGAAGCCUUGAGAAUCAAUAUUUCCUGUCUCCUACUCCUGUGCUGAGGAGAUUACUCUGGAGCAAAUGAAAGAAUCAAAGAAAACCCCUGAAAAACCUGGGAGAGUUGCUGAUUCACCAGAGGGCCAUGCAGAGGUGCCUUGACACACUGGAGAAACUGACUGAUGAUGGAAACCUCACAAAAUUCAACCAAAGGAA
ensembl:lncRNA